CAUGGGUAAUCUGCUGAGGAGAGAUAAAGUGAAUAUGGGUAUCAAUUCCGCCUGCGGUGGCAAUCAGAUUGGCACCAUUAUGCACUUCGGUAGCAGCACCAAUAAUCAUGUUCGGGUGCACGCCAUCCAUGGUGUCGGGGUUUCCUGCCUGACCAACAGCCACUAUUUUGCCAUCACGAAUACCAAUAUCGGCUUUUACUAUUCCCCAGUAAUCCAGUAUCAGUACAUUGGUGAUCACCAUAUCAAGCACAUUCUGAUUGCUGCGUGGCGCUGUAGCUGAUUGUGCCAUACCAUCGCGAAUG
rnacentral:sRNA from 1 species